rnacentral:rRNA from 1 species
UUGGAGGGCAAGUCUGGUGCCAGCAGCCGCGGUAAUUCCAGCUCCAAUAGCGUAUAUUAAAGUUGUUGCAGUUAAAAAGCUCGUAGUUGAAUUUCGGGAUUAGUACGUCGGUCGUGCCUUAGGUACGUACUAGUGUUACUGGUUCCUACCUUCUGACGAACCAUCAUGUCAUUAAUUUGGUGUGGUGGGGAAUCAGGACUGUUACUUUGAAAAAAUUAGAGUGUUUAAAGCAGGCUCGUGCUUGAAUACAUUAGCAUGGAAUAAUGAAAUAGGACGUUGAUCCUAUUUUGUUGGUUUCUAGGAUUGACGUAAUGAUUAAUAGGGAUAGUUGGGGGCAUUAGUAUUCAAUUGUCAGAGGUGAAAUUCUUGGAUUUAUUGAAGACUAACUACUGCGAAAGCAUUUGCCAAGGAUGUUUUCAUUAAUCAAGAACGAAAGUUAGGGGAUCGAAGGCGAUCAGAUACCGUCGUAGUCUUAACCAUAAACUAUGCCGACUAGGGAUCGGAUGAUGUUAAUUUUUUAAUGACUCAUUCGGCGCCUUACGGGAAAC